AAUGUGUGACACCGUUGAUUUUUUGUCCAACGUUUGACCAUUCGUCUUAUUAAAAAAAUUAUGUAAUUAUCAUUUAUUUUAUUAUGACUUGAUUCGUCAUCAAAUGUUUUAAGCAUGACAUAAAUAUUUUUAUAUUUGCACAAAAAUUUUGAAUAAAACGAAUGGUCAAACGUUGAUCGAAAAGUCAACAGUGUCAUACAUU
rfam:Oryza sativa (indica cultivar-group) chromosome 3, whole genome shotgun sequence.